rnacentral:rRNA from 1 species
GAUGAACGCUGGCGGCGUGCCUAAUACAUGCAAGUAGAACGCUGAAGCUUGGUGCUUGCACCGAGCGGAUGAGUUGCGAACGGGUGAGUAACGCGUAGGUAACCUGCCUCUUAGCGGGGGAUAACUAUUGGAAACGAUAGCUAAUACCGCAUAAAAGUCGAUAUCGCAUGAUGUUGAUUUGAAAGGUGCAAUUGCAUCACUAAGAGAUGGUCCUGCGUUGUAUUAGCUAGUUGGUGAGGUAACGGCUCACCAAGGCGACGAUACAUAGCCGACCUGAGAGGGUGAUCGGCCACACUGGGACUGAGACACGGCCCAGACUCCUACGGGAGGCAGCAGUAGGGAAUCUUCGGCAAUGGGGGCAACCCUGACCGAGCAACGCCGCGUGAGUGAAGAAGGUUUUCGGAUCGUAAAGCUCUGUUGUAAGAGAAGAACGAGUGUGAGAGUGGAAAGUUCA